rnacentral:rRNA from 1 species
UACAGAGGUCUCAAGCGUUGUUCGGAUUCAUUGGGCGUAAAGGGUGUGUAGGUGGCGCCGUAAGUCGGGUGUGAAAUUUCGGAGCUUAACUCCGAAACUGCAUUCGAUACUGCGGUGCUUGAGGACUGGAGAGGAGACUGGAAUUCAUGGUGUAGCAGUGAAAUGCGUAGAGAUCAUGAGGAAGACCAGUGGCGAAGGCGGGUCUCUGGACAGUUCCUGACACUGAGGCACGAAGGCUAGGGGAGCAAACGGG